UACAGAGGUCCCAAGCGUUGUUCGGAUUCACUGGGCGUAAAGGGUGCGUAGGCGGUCGGGUAAGUCUGAUGUGAAAUCUCGGAGCUCAACUCCGAAACUGCAUUGGAUACUAUUCGGCUUGAGGUCUGGAGGGGGGACUGGAAUUCCCGGUGUAGCGGUGAAAUGCGCAGAUAUCAGGAGGAACACCGAUGGCGAAGGCAGGUCUCUGGGCAUUAACUGACGCUGAGGAGCGAAAGCAUGGGGAGCGAACAGG
rnacentral:rRNA from 1 species